rnacentral:rRNA from 1 species
ACAGCAGCAGCCACGGGAAUACAGAGGGUGCGAGCGUUAAUCGGAUUUACUGGGCGUAAAGCGUGCGUAGGCGGCUUCUUAAGUCGGAUGUGAAAUCCCUGAGCUUAACUUAGGAAUUGCAUUCGAUACUGGGAAGCUAGAGUAUGGGAGAGGAUGGUAGAAUUCCAGGUGUAGCGGUGAAAUGCGUAGAGAUCUGGAGGAAUACCGAUGGCGAAGGCAGCCAUCUGGCCUAAUACUGACGCUGAGGUACGAAAGCAUGGGGAGCAAACAGGAUUAGAGACCCCGGUAGUCCCUGUCUCUUAUAC